rnacentral:rRNA from 1 species
AACGAACGCUGGCGGCAUGCCUAACACAUGCAAGUCGAACGAUAGAAGAGGGCUUGCUCUCUUCGAAAGUGGCGCACGGGUGCGUAACGCGUAUGCAACCUACCUUAAUCAGGGGGAUAGCCCGAAGAAACUCGGAUUAACACCGCAUAAAAUCACAGUACAGCAUUGUACAAUGAUCAAAUAUUUAUAGGAUUAAGAUGGGCAUGCGUGACAUUAGCUAGUUGGCGGGGUAACGGCCCACCAAGGCGACGAUGUCUAGGGGAUCUGAGAGGAUGACCCCCCACACUGGUACUGAGACACGGACCAGACUCCUACGGGAGGCAGCAGUAAGGAAUAUUGGUCAAUGGAGGCAACUCUGAACCAGCCAUGCCGCGUGCAGGAAGACGGCCCUCUGGGUUGUAAACUGCUUUUAUUCGGGAAUAAACCUCAUUACGUGUAAUGAGCUGAAUGUACCGAAGGAAUAAGGAUCGGCUAACUCCGUGCCAGCCGCCGCGGUAA